ensembl:lncRNA
GGGUCUUUGGGUCCUUUCUUCCUGGCUCCAAGUGGGAGUCUUGGGUCUUUGGGUCCCUUUCUCCUGGCAUCAGGUGAGAGGCCUGGGUUACUUCUUCCUGUCCCCAAGUGGGAGUCUUGCGUCUUCUGGUCACUUUUUCCUGGCUCCUCAGGUCCUUUCUUCCUGGCAUAAGCUGGGAAGGCCUGGGUCCCCUCUUCCUGGCAACAGCUGGGAUGGCCUGGGUCCCCUCUUCCUGGCAACAGCUGGGAUGGCCUGGGUCCCCUCUUCCUGCCAUCAGCUGGGAUGGCCUGGGUCCCCUCUUCCUGCCAUCAGCUGGGAUGGCCUGGGUCCCCUCUUCCUGCCAUCAGCUGGGAUGGCCUGGGUCCCCUCUUCCUGCCAUCAGCUGGGAUGGCCUGGGUCCCCUCUUCCUGCCAUCAGCUGGGAUGGCCUGGGUCCCCUCUUCCUGCCAUCAGCUGGGAUGGCCUGGGUCCCCUCUUCCUGCCAUCAGCUGGGAUGGCCUGGGUCCCCUCUUCCUGCCAUCAGCUGGGAUGGCCUGGGUCCCCUCUUCCUGCCAUCAGCUGGGAUGGCCUGGGUCCCCUCUUCCUGCCAUCAGCUGGGAUGGCCUGGGUCCCCUCUUCCUGCCAUCAGCUGGGAUGGCCUGGGUCCCCUCUUCCUGCCAUCAGCUGGGAUGGCCUGGGUCCCCUCUUCCUGCCAUCAGCUGGGAUGGCCUGGGUCCCCUCUUCCUGCCAUCAGCUGGGAUGGCCUGGGUCCCCUCUUCCUGCCAUCAGCGGGGAAGGCCUGGGUCGCCUCUUCCUGGCAUCAGCGGGGAAGGCCUGGGUCGCUUCUUCCUGGCUCCGAGAUGCCUGGGUUGCUUCUUCCUGGCUCCGAGAUGCCUGGGUCGCUUCUUCCUGGCUCCGAGAUGCCUGGGUCGCUUCUUCCUGGCUCCAGGUGGGAGUCUUGGGUCUUUGGGUCCCUUUCUCCCGGCAUCAGGUGAGAGGCCCGGGUCAUUUUCUGGCAUCAGGCGAGAGGCCUGGGUCACUUCUUCCUGGCUCCAAGUGGGUGUCUUGGGUCUUUGGGUCCUUUCUUCCUGGCUCCAAGUGGGAGUCUUGGGUCUUUGGGUCCCUUUCUCCUGGCAUCAGGUGAGAGGCCUGGGUUACUUCUUCCUGUCCCCAAGUGGGAGUCUUGCGUCUUCUGGUCACUUUUUCCUGGCUCCUCAGGUCCUUUCUUCCUGGCAUAAGCUGGGAAGGCCUGGGUCCCCUCUUCCUGGCAACAGCUGGGAUGGCCUGGGUCCCCUCUUCCUGGCAACAGCUGGGAUGGCCUGGGUCCCCUCUUCCUGCCAUCAGCUGGGAUGGCCUGGGUCCCCUCUUCCUGCCAUCAGCUGGGAUGGCCUGGGUCCCCUCUUCCUGCCAUCAGCUGGGAUGGCCUGGGUCCCCUCUUCCUGCCAUCAGCUGGGAUGGCCUGGGUCCCCUCUUCCUGCCAUCAGCUGGGAUGGCCUGGGUCCCCUCUUCCUGCCAUCAGCUGGGAUGGCCUGGGUCCCCUCUUCCUGCCAUCAGCUGGGAUGGCCUGGGUCCCCUCUUCCUGCCAUCAGCUGGGAUGGCCUGGGUCCCCUCUUCCUGCCAUCAGCUGGGAUGGCCUGGGUCCCCUCUUCCUGCCAUCAGCUGGGAUGGCCUGGGUCCCCUCUUCCUGCCAUCAGCGGGGAAGGCCUGGGUCGCCUCUUCCUGGCAUCAGCGGGGAAGGCCUGGGUCGCUUCUUCCUGGCUCCGAGAUGCCUGGGUUGCUUCUUCCUGGCUCCGAGAUGCCUGGGUCGCUUCUUCCUGGCUCCGAGAUGCCUGGGUCGCUUCUUCCUGGCUCCAGGUGUGAGUCUUGGGCCUUUGGGUCCCUUCCUCCUGGCAUCAGGUGAGAGGCCUGGGUCACUUCUUGGCUCCAGGUGAGAGGCCUGGGUCACUUCUUGGCUCCAGGUGAGAGGCCUGGGUCACUUCUUGGCUCCAGGUGAGAGGCCUGGGUCACUUCUUGGCUCCAGGUGAGAGGCCUGGGUCACUUCUUGGCUCCAGGUGAGAGGCCUGGGUCACUUCCUGGCUCCAGGUGGGAGAACUGGCUCCUCGGGUCCUUUGCUCCUGACUCCUCGGGUCCUUUGCUCCUGACUCCUCGGGUCCUUUGCUCCUGACUCCUCGGGUCCUUUGCUCCUGACUCCUCGGGUCCUUUGCUCCUGACUCCUCGGGUCCUUUGCUCCUGACUCCUCGGGUCCUUUGCUCCUGGCAUCAGCUGGGAGGCCUGGGUCCCUUCUUCCUGGCAUCAGCUGGGAGGCCUGGGUCCCUUCUUCCUGGCAUCAGCUGGGAGGCCUGGGUCCCUUCUUCCUGGCAUCAGCUGGGAGGCCUGGGUCCCUUCUUCCUGGCAUCAGCUGGGAGGCCUGGGUCCCUUCUUCCUGGCAUCAGCUGGGAGGCCUGGGUCCCUUCUUCCUGGCAUCAGCUGGGAGGCCUGGGUCCCUUCUUCCUGGCAUCAGCUGGGAGGCCUGGGUCCCUUCUUCCUGGCAUCAGCUGGGAGGCCUGGGUCCCUUCUUCCUGGCAUCAGCUGGGAGAACUAGGUCCUUGGGUCCUUUCCUCCUGGCUCCAGGUAGGCGGCCUGGGUCACUCUUCCUCUCUCCAGUUGGGAGUCUUGGAUCUUCUGGUCCCUUCCUCCUGGCUCCAAUUGGGAGUCUUGGAUUUUUUGGUCCCUUCCUCCUGGCUCCCGGGGGGAGUCUUAGAUCUUCCGGUCCCUUCUUCCCGCCUCCAGUUGGGAGUCUUGGGUCUUCUGGUCCCUUUUUCCUGGCUCCAGGUGGGAGGCCUGUGUUCCUUCUUCAUGGCUCCAGGUGGGAGGCCUGUGU